rnacentral:rRNA from 1 species
UACGAAGGGGGCUAGCGUUGCUCGGAAUUACUGGGCGUAAAGCGCACGUAGGCGGCUUUCUAAGUCGGGGGUGAAAUCCUGGAGCUCAACUCCAGAACUGCCUUCGAUACUGGAGAGCUUGAGUCCGGGAGAGGUGUGUGGAACUCCGAGUGUAGAGGUGAAAUUCGUAGAUAUUCGGAAGAACACCAGUGGCGAAGGCGACACACUGGCCCGUUACUGACGCUGAGGCGCGAAAGCGUGGGGAGCAAACAGG